AACGAACGCUGGCGGCAGGCCUAACAUAUGCAAGUCGAGCGCCCCGCAAGGAGAGCGGCAGACGGGUGAGUAACACGUGGGAACGUACCUUUUGGUUCGGAAUAACGCAGAGAAAUUUGAGCUAAUACCGGAUGUGCCCUUCGGGGGAAAGAUUUAUCGCCAUUGGAGCGGCCCGCGUCUGAUUAGCUAGUUGGUGGGGUAAAGGCCCACCAAGGCGACGAUCAGUAGCUGGUCUGAGAGGAUGAUCAGCCACAUUGGGACUGAGACACGGCCCAAACUCCUACGGGAGGCAGCAGUGGGGAAUCUUGCGCAAUGGGCGAAAGCCUGACGCAGCCAUGCCGCGUGAAUGAUGAAGGUCUUAGGAUUGUAAAAUUCUUUCACCGGGGACGAUAAUGACGGUACCCGGAGAAGAAGCCCCGGCUAACUACGUGCCAGCCGCCGGGUAAAAC
rnacentral:rRNA from 1 species